GAUCCUGGCUCAGGACGAACGCUGGCGGCGUGGAUUAGGCAUGCAAGUCGAACGGUAUCAUCCUUUCGGGGGUGAGAGAGUGGCGAACUGGUGAGUAACACGUAGGUUAUCUACCCUCAAGACGGGGACAACCCAGGGAAACUUGGGCUAAUACCGGAUGUGAGCAACUUUUAGUUGUUUGAAAGGUGGCGUAAGCUGUCGCUUGGGGAUGAGCCUGCGUCCUAUUAGUUAGUUGGUGAGGUAACGGCUCACCUAGGCAAUGAUAGGUAGGCGGCCUUAACGGGUGGCCGCCCACACUGGGAUUGAGAUACGGCCC
rnacentral:rRNA from 1 species